GCGGGGGUAGCCAAGCGGUCAACGGUGCAGGGCUUAGGACCCUGUGGCGCAGGCCUUCGUGGGUUCGAAAUGGCAUAAGCCACGAAAAUCCCACCCCCCGCA
rnacentral:tRNA from 1 species